GCCGUUUUUAUCUCAAUAUCAAAACAUUUUGAUAUUGAGCUACUGAGUGGCGCAGCGGUCUAAAGCACUGCAUCUCAGUGCUAGAGGUGUCACUACAGACCCUGGUUUGAUUCCAGGCUGUGUCACAACCGCCGUGAUUGGGAGUCCCAUAGGGUGGCGAACAAUUGGCCCAGCAUCGUCCGGGGUAGGCCGUCAUUGUAAAUAAGAAUUUUUAUUAACUGACUUGCCUAGCUAAAUAACACAUUUCUGGGUAACAAUUAAGUACCUCACUGUGAUAGUUUAAUUAAAAUGGUCAAAAAUAAACAAAAAUACCUUCUUAGCAAAAAACUAUUUCUCAAGCAAGAAUUUUGUUCUGAGUGGGUAGGGGAAAACAAGCUUUGGUUUGGAACCCUUUUUAUUGGUCUAUUAACAAAUUUAGCACCUCAUGGUGUCACCAGGCAGGGGGGGCUGCACCCCACAGUUUGGGAACCACUAAUAUAGACCACGUAGAGCCUCGCACAAGACUGACUGAAAUUAAAAGGAUGUGUGCUGGCAAACCUAUUUUUUUGUUCAUGAAUAAUUACAAAAAAAUACUCUGAUCAUAAUCGUAUCCAGAAAAUUGCCAAUAUCCGUUAUGAUUCUCAUUUUGUCCAUAUACUCGGCACAGCCCAAAUUCACAGUUUCAACUACUUCAAGAAGUAAUGUUGCAGUCUAGCUCAGUGCUGCCCCCUCUCGUUGAGUAACUCGAGUUGAAGGCAGACCGGGGUACUGCAGGCUGCAAUUAGCAGCUAAAUUAUAACUUCUUCUGUGUGCAAUUUUAAAAUAAUUGUUUCAAAGACAUACAUCUGGUGUAAUAGAAGCAAUUUUUGGUACCAUGAUUGUCUUUGAUUUUGUUCUAUUUUUAUUCACAGAUAGACCACGAAGAUUGCCAUUUUCCUAUUCGCCAUUUUCCUAUUCGCGGUUGGCCUUGAACUUUAAUGAAAGGGGGAGUCCUUCUCCCCUGUUUAAAGCAGUGUGCGGAAGGGGUGGGGCUUUGUCUGAGAGUUUCAUUUUGCAAGGGUGGAGACUACUUCCUAUUUGGCACAACAAAACUCUCAAUUGUUAACACGUUUGGGCCCAGAAGUAAAUAAGGAAGCUGACCAAAUUUCACAAUAAUUUACUUCUGGGAAACCUGAGAUCACCAAAAGACAAAUCAUCAUCCAGUUGGACACCUGAUGAACUUCCACAAACUUCAGGGUCUGGGAGCAAUCUUCAUCCAGUUGGACAAUUGAUGAGAUCACCAACCAGGAUCUUCAGGGUCUGAGAUGAUAAAUUCAGCUACUGUGCUGCUGGAGCCGACUUAACCGGAUUCCCCUUUAAAACAGGAACCUUAUGGUAAGUCAUUUAGUACAGUCUU